UUACAGAUUGUUUAAUUGACACUCAAAAAGAAUCUAUUUCACCAAAUUCAUCAUUUACACUUUAGAAGUCAUCAGAAUUAGCCACCUCACACGAUGAAACCUCACAACCUUAUGGUGUUACAUUUGGAUCACUAGCUGGACGUGACAUUAAAAAUGCAAAGCAAACAGGUAUAAAAAGGAGGGUAAAUCAUGCUGAAAAAAAUACUGGAUCACCAUAUAAAUCUCAGCUAGAGGAAUCUUUAAACUUGAAAUAUAAGAACAGACAGCCAUGUAAAAAGUGCAUUAAAAAAAGUAUAUCUACUCAUCAAAAGACGUGUUUGAAAUACCUUGAUGCUAAAGGUGCGAUUAAUAAACAACUUUGUGCAAAGUGUCAAUACAGUUAUGGUAAUCCUGUUGAUCCUUAUUUAAAAGAUAAUUGGGAUAUAUGCCUUAAAUGCUGUAGAUGGUGGCAUGAAACAUGUGCUGCUAUAUGUGGUGUUUAUACUAAAAAAGUAUUUACUUGUGAUGACUGUAUAAAGCACUGAUUCUUAAAAAAAAAGUUAUAUGUCAUAUAUUGAUAAAA